AAGCGGAGACUGAUAAAGCAAGGUUUUUGUCAAAGAUACAGGGCAUGACAAAAACAGAGAUGGAUGGUUGGUACUCAAUGGUGAACAUAGUCUCUGUUUUCUGUUAUCACAUUAAAAUUCCAUCACCUGUAUUUUCUCUCUAGUUCUUUCUUCAAAAGGUAGAUUUAGCUGAUUGAAAGCUAUCAAUUCUCCUGCCAAAUCAUCACCACACCAUUUCAACUCUAUCAGGACAAAUAUUCUUCAUUCACUCAAGCUAUAUAGAAAGGCAUUGUAUUCUAUUCCUUUUUCUUAUUUCUGCUUGUUUAUAUUUCAUCAGGAAACAUAACUUUCCCCUGUUUUCUUUAACAUUUCUCUAAUUGUUCCAAAUCUAAAAUCUUCAUUAUCAUAUACCACAACUUAUUCUUUUUCUCUUUGUAGGAAAGUGUCUUUUGGCUCUUUAAGGGGAUGUAAAAGGGCAAUAAAUUCAGUGGAUAUACACACAGAAAAUAAGUUUUCAAAUACAUAUUUCCUAUGAAUCUUUGUUUUCCAUAGAGAUUCCUCCUUAGUGUCACAACAGAGCCACAUUUUCCCAGAGCAGAAAAUCACAUCAGGAAUCCUCUGAUAAUGUUAUGAAGAUGCUUGUAUGUUUUAUAAACCAGACAACAAUUAUGCCGAGGAGUGGAUUUGCAGCCUGAGUCCUCCUGCUCCUUUUGGUGUAAAUUUGAUGAAAGGUUAACCUUAGGCAGGAGAGAAGGCAGAAAACCACACUAAGCACUUCUUAGCAGGCAGGGCAGAAAGAACACGGACAACAUUAGGAGCUCUUCUCAUCUGUGCCUAGCGAUGGGUGACAUAUGACACACCUGUUGAAUCUUUUGGGAACUGGAAGAAUGAAAAGUGGAUAACGUGAUGAUCAGGUGUUCAAGAGAGUGUUCAAGAGAGUUUCAGAUGUAAUCCAGGACACGCAUCAAUGCACUAGCUCCACAAAGAAUGAGCCCUGGGUGAAAAAGCACGUGUCGGAAAAACAAACGGAUGUGCAGAGGCGUUAGAGGACCUGCUGUAGACAGAAAGGUAAGAAGAUAUCAUUUGGCUGAAAGAAUGAAGAAAAAAAAUAGGUGGACUCUAUGGCGUAGGUGACUGCAAAUGGAAUACCUUUCACCUCUAAUUGACUGACUGAAAUGGAGGCAGUCUCCAUAGAGACUGAAAUUCCUCCGUGAGAGAUGGCAGUUCCGCAGGGAGGCUGGAGAUGGAGGGCUGUGUCUCCAUCGCUAAGAGCUAGGGAGCAUGACAUCAGGACUGGAUUCACUGGUUUCCAUAGCUAAUCUGAGCUCUUAUCAGCCCUCUAUAUUUUAAAAUACAGUGCUCUUUAAGAGGAUUCAAUUUAAAGAAUUAUAACUUGUUUAUGUUAAUACAUUGAGGCUUGGGGAAAUUUUUGAAUCAACCUAGUUCUUAAACUACUGCUCACACUAUUAAGCUUCAUGUCAUAUCCAUCAAUAUAUAUCGGAUUUUGCUCCUUCUGUAUGAUUCUGCUCUGAAAUCCUGUGAUUAUAUUGUCACAAAUAGGUGUUAUGAUUUAAGGAUUCAUGAAUUGUGCCUCUCAGAGAUAGGUUGAAAUUUAAUAAUAAAAUAAAACAUUUUACUAAAAAAAUAAAGUAGAAAAGGAUGCCUUCCAUUAACCCCUAAACCAUCCUUUUGCUUGUGUCCUCCACCCCACGUUCUUCUGUUUCUUCAGUGACCUCACUGGCUGCUUCUCAGCUUCAAAUAUUUCUUCUCUUGAAUUCUCUUGCCCUAUAUGGCAUCUAAGUGUUGGGCCUCCUCAGAAUUAUAUUCAGGCCCUUAUCAUAUCUGCAGUGAAAGGCCUCCUAAACUGUUGGUCCCCUGUCUUCAAACUCCCAUCCAGGUCUCUCCACUCUUCAACUCUGAGGAAAGGAUUUUUUUAAAACAUAAAUGGGAUCAUGUUACUUCUCUGCUUAAAUCCCUUUCAUGGCUUUCUCUUACAGAAACAAUAAAACUCAAAACUCUUUGCAGGGCUCUGCAUUCAGUGUUCCUUAUAAUUGCCUGUCUCUCUUCUUUUCAUUCAAUAUACUGCAGCCAUGUUUUUGCUCAUUUCUCAAAGAUGCUAAAUCUGUAUCGUCUACUUCUAGCAUUCUUUACACAACUUUUCAGAUGACUAGUUCUCUUUCUCUCCCUUUGUUCUCAUUUUAUACACAAUUGAUUCAAAGACGUUUUUCCUGAUAAUCAAUUUAAAAUAUCCCCAAAUCUUAUUCCCAAUAUUAAUCCUUAUGAUACCCCCUUCAAAAACAUACUAGAAUCUGGGGCCGGCUCCGUGGCCGAGUGGUUAAGUUCGCGGGCUCCGCUGCAGCAGCCCAGGGUUCAGAUCCUAGGCACGGACAUGGCACCGCUCGUCAGGCCACGUUGAGGCGCCAUCCCACAUCCCACAAGUAGAAGGACCUGCAACUAAGAUAUACAACU
ensembl:lncRNA